rnacentral:rRNA from 1 species
AUUGAACGCUGGCGGAAUGCUUUACACAUGCAAGUCGAACGGCAGCACGGGGGCAAUCCUGGUGGCGAGUGGCGAACGGGUGAGUAAUACAUCGGAACGUGCCCGGUCGUGGGGGAUAACGUAGCGAAAGUUACGCUAAUACCGCAUACGAUCUGAGGAUGAAAGCGGGGGACCUUCGGGCCUCGCGCGAUCGGAGCGGCCGAUGUCAGAUUAGGUAGUUGGUGGGGUAAAGGCCUACCAAGCCGACGAUCUGUAGCUGGUCUGAGAGGACGACCAGCCACACUGGGACUGAGACACGGCCCAGACUCCUAAGGGAGGCAGCAGUGGGGAAUUUUGGACAAUGGGCGCAAGCCUGAUCCAGCCAUUCCGCGUGCAGGACGAAGGCCUUCGGGUUGUAAACUGCUUUUGUAUGGAACGAAAAGGCUCUGGCUAAUACCUGGGGCUCAUGACGGUACCGUAAGAAUAAGCACCGGCUAACUACGUG